GACGAACCGUGCGAACGUUAUUCGGAAUCAUUGGGCUUAAAGGGCGCGUAGGCGGCGGUGUAAGUUGGAAGUGAAAUCCCAUCGGCUCAACCGUGGAAUUGCUCCCAGUACUGCAUCGCUCGAGGGGGAUAGGGGUCUGCGGAACUACCGGUGGAGCGGUGAAAUGUGUUGAUAUCGGUGGGAACGCCAGUGGCGAAAGCGGCAGACUAGACCUUCCCUGACGCUGAUGCGCGAAAGCUAGGGGAGCAAACGGGG
rnacentral:rRNA from 1 species